CCACUAGCCUUAUUCUCCAAGUGUCCUUUGUUGCCCCUCGUUCUUGCCUUGGCUCCGUACCUCUACGCUUCAAGAAUCACACCUCCUCAAGGCAAUGAAUUGUUGAUGGUAAAGAAGUUGGCAGUAUUCUUCGUUUUCCCUGUCUCUUCAACCUCCAUCGGGCCCUCGUCAAGCUCCAGCUGACACCCAGAGCCAUCGCCGAUCACAUCGUCGCGUCAUCUUCCAAGCUAAACAGCCCUAUUGCCAAGAAGAACGUCGCUGCACCGCAGAUCAAGGUCAUGGCGAAGAAGAAGGCCUGCCAUCAGUGCCGCCAGAUGACUGCUAAAUUUACCGGGGCUUGCAAGAGCAAUAGGAACGGAAACAUGGGGCCCUGCCCAAUAAGAUAUUGUUCCAGGUGCCUGCCCAACAGGUACGGUGAGCAAGUGAAGGUGACACAGAUGCAGGAUUGCUGGACCUGCCCUAAGUGCAGGGGUAUUUGUAACUGCAGCCGCUGCAG